GCAUCUGUACCCUAGUGGUAAAAGGCAGCACUCCAAAUGCUGAGGUCAUGGGUUUGAAUUCCACCAGAUACA
rnacentral:tRNA from 1 species